rnacentral:rRNA from 1 species
UGGGGAAUUUUGGACAAUGGGCGAANCCNUGAUCCAGCCAUGCCGCGUGCAGGAUGAAGGCCUUCGGGUUGUAAACUGCUUUUGUACGGAACGAAAAGACUCUGGUUAAUACCUGGGGUCCAUGACGGUACCGUAAGAAUAAGCACCGGCUAACUACGUGCCAGCAGCCGCGGUAAUACGUAGGGUGCAAGCGUUAAUCGGAAUUACUGGGCGUAAAGCGUGCGCAGGCGGUUAUAUAAGACAGAUGUGAAAUCCCCGGGCUCAACCUGGGAGCUGCAUUUGUGACUGCAAGGCUAGAGUACGGCAGAGGGGGAUGGAAUUCCGCGUGUAGCAGUGAAAUGCGUANAUAUGCGGAGGAACACCAAUGGCGAAGGCAAUCCCCUGGGCCUGUACUGACGCUCAUGCACGAAAGCGUGGGGAGCAAACAGGAUUAGAUACCCUGGUAGUCCACGCCCUAAACGAUGUCAACUGGUUGUUGGACGGCUUGCUGUUCAGUAACGAAGCUAACGCGUGAAGUUGACCGCCUGGGGAGUACGGCCGCAAGGUUG